rnacentral:lncRNA from 1 species
GUUUAACUCAGUAGCUCUAGUAUCUCUCUGAUCCUCUCCCAGAGGGUCUGAAGCUUUCAGCCUCCUGAACGGGUAAGCUCCCCCUCUAGUGUUCACUGCUCAUCAAAUUAUUCCUCCAACAAAUAAGACAGGAACUGCCUGUUUUUUGAUUCCCUAUCGAAGGACGGAGCUUGAUUACUGUUUAAUGACACAAAGAGGAAAAGGUGUUGAAUGAAGGGUCCCCUUCUCACAUUUAGGGAA